rnacentral:lncRNA from 1 species
UGAUGGAAUUUCCAAAUUGACGAUCGGCUCCGUUAGACUUGAUCUAGUGUAUUUGAAGUUUCUAGAAAAUAAUUUUUGCGAUUUUUUGAUAUCAUUUAUCUAGUGAUCGAAAUGAUUCAAAAUCAAUAAUUUUUAAUGGUUGAUAUCUACCGUUUUCAAAUUUAACGGUGUAGAAGUAUUCAAAUCAGAUGAAAUUUUGAUACAAAAUUCUUUAUACUAUCUAUAACAAGAUCAAUAUUUCUGAUCGAAAAUUUUAGUGCUAUAUCACCAUUUUUUAUAGGAUUUUUAUUUCCAGCCAUUAAAAAUUAUUGAUUUUGAAUCCUUUCGAUUGUUAGGUAAAUGAUAUCGAAUAAUCGCAAAAAUUAUUUUCUAAAAACUUCAAAUACGCUAGAUCAAGUCUAACGGAGCCAAUCGUCGAUUCGGAAAUUCUAUCAUCGAAAACGGCUCAGGAGCACGGAGGCCUCCAUGCUCCUGAGAGCACAACAGUCCUGCUCUCUC